UAGCUAGUUGGUGGGGUAAGGGCCUACCAAGGCGACGAUCGGUAGCUGGUCUGAGAGGAUGACCAGCCACACUGGAACUGAGACACGGUCCAGACUCCUACGGGAGGCAGCAGUGGGGAAUAUUGGACAAUGGGGGCAACCCUGAUCCAGCAAUGCCGCGUGUGUGAAGAAGGCCUGAGGGUUGUAAAGCACUUUCAGUGGGGAGGAGUGUUGAUGGGUUAAGAGCUAAUUAACUGGACGUUACCCACAGAAGAAGCACCGGCUAACUCCGUGCCAGCAGCCGCGGUAAUACGGAGGGUGCGAGCGUUGAUCGGAAUUACUGGGCGUAAAGAGUGCGUAGGUGGUUGAAUAAGUUAUCUGUGAAAUCCCUGGGCUUAACCUGGGCAGGUCAGAUGAUACUGUUUAACUCGAGUAUGGGAGAGGGUAGUGGAAUUUCCGGUGUAGCGGUGAAAUGCGUAGAGAUCGGAAGGAACACCAGUGGCGAAGGCGGCUACCUGGCCUAAUACUGACACUGAGGCACGAAAGCGUGGGGAGCAAACAGGAUUAGAUACCCUGGUAGUCCACGCUGUAAACGAUGUCAACUAGCUGUUGGUUAUAUAAAAAUAAUUAGUGGCGC
rnacentral:rRNA from 1 species